GGGCUUGUAGCUCAGGGGUUAGAGCGCACGCCUGAUAAGCGUGAGGUCGAUGGUUCGAUUCCACCCAGGCCCACCA
rnacentral:tRNA from 1 species